rnacentral:lncRNA from 1 species
GUAUGUAUGUGCCUGUCCCCAGUCAGAAGCAUGUAAUUCAGUGGUUGUCGUUUAUAUUAUUGUUAUUGUUGCUUUGUUACAUACUUGUUUUUUGUUCAUUUUUUGUACAUCAAUUAGUCCGUUAGUUUGAAUUGUUUUACCUUUGUCUUUUCUGGGCCUUUUAUAGCUGACUAUGCGGUAUGGGCUUUGCUCAUUGUUUAAGGUCGUACGGUGACCUAUAAUUAUUUAUGUUUGUGUCAUUUGAUCUUUUGUUAAAGGUUGUCUCAUUGGCAAUCAUACAACAUCUUCUUUUUUAUAUUUACAAUGUAGUAUCGUUAUUAAUGUUAAUGUAUUACCAGCUAAAAUGCCGAAGUGUACUUUUAUAGCAUGCGAGAAAUCUUUCUUUGUCAUGC